rnacentral:rRNA from 1 species
GACGUAGGCGCGAGCGUUGUCCGGAUUAUUGGCGUAAAGAGCUCGUAGGCGGCUUGUCGCGUCGUCCGUGAAAACCUGGGCUCAACCCAGGCUUGCGGUCGAUACGGCAGGCUCGAGUUCGGUAGGGGAGACUGGAAUUCCUGGUGUAGCGGUGGAAUGCGCAGAUAUCAGGAGGAACACCGAUGGCGAAGGCAGAUCUCUGGCCGGUAACUGACGCUGAGGAGCGAAAGCAUGGGGGAGCGAACAGG